rnacentral:tRNA from 1 species
GGGCCUAUAGCUCAACGGCAGAGCAGAGUGCUCAUAACGCUUUGGUUGCAGGUUCGAAUCCUGCUGGGCCCA